CAGGAUUAGUGGGCCUCGAUCCCACAAACUUACAGUUAACAGCUGAACGCCCAAUCCAGAGGACAUUAAUCCG
rnacentral:tRNA from 1 species